AUGGCCCACGUUGUCCUCAACUUCAACGCGUUCCUAGAGAAAACCAAGCUGAAAGAUGAUGGCAGCAAUUAUACGGACUGGGUCCGGAACCUGAGGAUCAUCCUCAUAGCUGCCAAGAAAGAUUAUGUCCUAGAAGCACCGCUAGGUGAAGCACCAAUCCUAGAGAACCAAGACGUUAUGAACGCUUGGCAAUCACGUGUUGAUGAUUACUCCCUCGUUCAGUGUGGCAUGCUUUACAGCUUAGAACCGGGUCUCCAAAAGCGUUUUGAGAAACAUGGAGCAUAUGAGAUGUUCGAAGAGCUGAAAAUGGUUUUCCAAGCUCAUGCCCGGGUCGAGAGAUAUGAAGUCUCCGACAAGUUCUUCAGCUGUAAAAUGGAGGAAAAUAGUUCUGUUAGUGAGCACAUACUCAGAAUGUCUGGGUUACACAACCGCUUGUCUCAGCUGGGAGUUAAUCUCCCGGAUGACGCGGUCAUUGACAGAAUCCUUCAGUCGCUUCCACCGAGCUACAAGAGCUUUGUGAUGAACUUCAAUAUGCAGGGGAUGGAAAAGACCAUUCCUGAGGUAUAUUCAAUGCUGAAAUCAGCGGAGGUAGAAAUCAAAAAGGAACAUCAAGUGUUGAUGGUGAAUAAAACCACUAAGUUCAAGAAAGGCAAGGGCAAGAAGAACUUCAAGAAGGACGGCAAGGGAGUUGCCGCGCCCGGUAAGCCAGUUACUGGGAAGAAGCCAAGGAAUGGACCCAAGCCUGAGACUGAGUGCUUUUAUUGCAAGGGAAGUGGUCACUGGAAGCGGAAC
rnacentral:rRNA from 1 species